GAUCAACGCUGGCGGCGUGCCUAAUGCAUGCAAGUCGAACGGGGUGACUUUCGGGUCACCGCCGUGGCGGACGGGUGCGGAACACGUGGGCAACCUGCCCUGAGGUGGGGGAUAGCCGUGGGAAACCGCGGGUAAUUCCGCAUAAGCUCGCUCCUUGGUAGGAGGAGGGAGGAAAGGGUCUUCGGACUCGCCUUAGGAGGGGGCUGCGGCCGAUUAGCUAGUUGGUGGGGUAAUGGCUUACCAAGGCGAUGAUCGGUAGCUGGUCUGAGAGGACGGCCAGCCACACGGGGACUGAGAGACGGCCCCGACUCCUACGGGAGGCAGCAGCAAGGAAUCUUCCGCAAUGGGCGCAAGCCUGACGGAGCAACGCCGCGUGGGGGAUGAGGCCCUUCGGGGUGUAAACCCCUUUUCUUCGGGAUGAAGUUCUGACAGUACCGGAGGAAGAAGGACCGGCUAACUACGUGCCAGCCGCCGCGGUAACAC
rnacentral:rRNA from 1 species